CAGUAGCCACGGUAAUACAGAGGGUGCGAGCGUUAAUCGGAUUUACUGGGCGUAAAGCGUGCGUAGGCGGCUUUUUAAGUCGGAUGUGAAAUCCCUGAGCUUAACUUAGGAAUCGCAUUCGAUACUGGGAAGCUAGAGUAUGGGAGAGGAUGGUAGAAUUCCAGGUGUAGCGGUGAAAUGCGUAGAGAUCUGGAGGAAUACCGAUGGCGAAGGCAGCCAUCUGGCCUAAUACUGACGCUGAGGUACGAAAGCAUGGGGAGCAAACAGGAUUAGAUACCCGCGUAGUCCCUGUCUCUUAUAC
rnacentral:rRNA from 1 species